UAGAACCUUGAUUAUAUACCACCCCUAUGUAUACAUUCUUCAGUGAUAGAUCAACCGCGUGGGUCUUUGGAUUGAACGUGACGUACUGUACGAGUGCUACUUCGGGGAGGUUUAAUGAGUUUUUCUUCGGAAGGGAUAAGAAACAUGAGGCACUCUAUGCAUGAGUCCUUCGGAGUUCUGCAAUGACGGCUUCGCUAGAAAGAUGUUUACAGAGAAAGAGACGUGUGCACGAAAUUGGUAUGUGAGGAUCGAAUGGGCUCAAGUCGUAUGAUAAUAUCGGACUCACUUGGAAAU
rnacentral:lncRNA from 1 species